rnacentral:rRNA from 1 species
UACGUAGGGUGCAAGCGUUAUCCGGAAUUACUGGGCGUAAAGCGUGCGCAGGCGGUUUUGUAAGUCCGACGUGAAAUCCCCGGGCUCAACCUGGGAAUUGCGUUGGAGACUGCAAGGCUGGAGUAUGGCAGAGGGGGGUAGAAUUCCACGUGUAGCAGUGAAAUGCGUAGAGAUGUGGAGGAACACCGAUGGCGAAGGCAGCCCCCUGGGUCAAGACUGACGCUCAUGCACGAAAGCGUGGGGAGCAAACAGG